AGUGAGGUUGAUUUACCAAGAGCAAAUAGACUGUUCACUUUGCAAAAUAUUUUUUUUCCGGAGUUUAGUGAACGAGAUGAAGCUUUGCUGACUUUCACAAUUCAACGUGCAAGCAAAAAUGCUGUUUUUUUUUUUUCAAAUUAAAGUGAAAAUUCUCUUGCAAAGUGAACAGCCAAUUUGCCUUUAGUAAAGUAACCCCAGUGUGUGUGUAUCAAAGCAUACUGGUUUUAAAUGGGUCUCAUGUUUCGCUGUCAUGGAUGCAUUGCGUUUUUCUUUGAAAUCAGACAUUUAGAUUUAAAGACGUUGACUCCAGUGGAGCACUAUGAUUUAACUCUUGGAAAUUAAACAGAUAUUACAGCAUCUACCUAAAGACCUUAGAUAGUUGCCUGGUAAAUAUAUAUUAUCAGAACACUUUAUUUUAAUCCAGUGUGAAAAGAUCUCUAGAGAAUUGUAUUUGUUUUUUUUUUUUGUUUUUUUUUCGUAUAAUCAGUGUUACUGGAAUACUUAAAACAAAUUAAUGAGGUUUUGGAUUUAAAUGUAUUUUUGCACAAAAACAUAGAUUAAUAAUGGUAAGGUCAGAAGAGCACUUUAUGUAGAAGAGCACUAAAUCCAAAGGAUAAGCGGGUACGGCUUACUUCUACACACACCUCUAAAUGUGUCUAAUCAUUAUCAAAAUGGUUCAAUUUUUUUAAAUGUACAUUUUUUUUUAUUCAGUCUCUUUAUAGUAUCGUGGACCCCAUAAACCCUCAGACGUGUUACGUGUAAUAGAGUGUAUUGGCGGUGAAAAAAUGCAAUAUCUUACCAGCAGAUAAAAUUUAAAAACAUGGCUUCUGGUCCUCCAUAAACUAUGGCUGUAUCGGAGAAGGGAAUAGAUCUGUGUGACCAGAGUGGUCCAGGGCAGUUGUAUAUACAUUUUUUUAAUUGAAAUGUAAUGUCCUUCUAACAUCUGGGAUUGUUAAUGCUCAAGAAACAAUGUAAAAAUGCACAUAUUUGGAAUUUUAUAUAUUUUAUUAAAUGUUAGUGUAUCUUUUUGCCAUAAAGGGUUGCCAUAAUGUUAUAGGGAGCUGAAUCUGAAGGUGUGAACAUGUUUGAAAUCUGUACCACAAUAAUUGUAGCACGAAUCUGUUGAACCAUAUGAUGGUCUAUUUACAUGGAGCGCCUAUGGUUUGAUCCAUGUGUUUUAAAGGGCACAUCUUCUUUCCAUAGAUACAUCAUGCCUAUCAUGUUUAGUAGAUUAGUAGAACUCACUGUAUUACUGCAGGCAAUGUCACAUUUUUCAUUGAAUUGUUUUGUUUGAUUGUUUAAGUAUUUAUCCUAAAUCCGACUUGUAAUUUCGUCAGUUCAGUGUUAGACCAAAUUCUGAGUCACAGUAUUAAGUAUAUCCUUUGUUCCUGCAGAAUUGGUCUAUAGGAGUUACAUUUGACUACUGAAUUCCAUGUGCGGCAAAGUAUAUAGAGCAGAGAGUUGACCAUCCUGAGGAGGCAGGUUAGCAGAACCUGUAGAUAGGUAGACUCGGUCAUCACCAUCUACACAGCCAUACAAGAGGACUGACAAAAGGGGUUUCCCUCCAAACGCAAGGUCAUAAUUUCACCCUGCUGUGCUGUGAGACCAGGUGAGAGAGUUCUUAAACCACACAAUGCUGCCAUUUCCUUCAAGACUACUGUAAUAAGUUUCCAGAGUCCAGAACAAUUCACAGUACAGGCCUCUAUCUUUAGGCACAAAUGCCACAACCCACCCAGUCCUGCAGUCUUAACAUCUUUACUGUCUUUAUCAGCACUGCCUACAGGAUUCCACUGUGGACUCAAGCUAUCGAAGAAAUAAAUUUGGCGUUUCAAGUGCUGGUUUCCAUUUAAAGGGACAUACCUCAGCCAAAAUCGAUCUCCCCUUUUUCCUUUCAAAGCAAUCCCAGUUACCCUUUGAUAUCUUUAAAGUGACUCUUCACCCUAUCAUUGUUUACUAAAGGAGGAACUCUGUUUGCUAUUUUACCACUUCUUUGGGCAACUGUGUUUUAGUCAAAGAGACUACAUCCCUAUUGUGCACCAACAUUAGGGCCCCAACUAGCCGAAAGAAGAGUUCUUCAUGCGUUUGGGAUAUCUGUUGGCAAAUGUACUUGCUUAAAUUCCUGAGAGUUAAACCCUGAUUUUUCUCACUGAGAGCCUGCAAGUGAGCUAGCCCAGUGUUUGUUCGUUCCUUCCUUCUAAUCUCAUCCACUCACUUGGGGAAAUAUUUUGGUUUGGGAUCUCGCAUUUAAAUCUUCAGUCCUGCAGGAUGGGUGGGAGUGGUUUAAAGUGGUACUGUAUUGUGUUAAAUUGCCUUUUCUUGUUGGUGUUUUGCCAUUUGGAAUACUGUGUCAACUGUUUCUUUUGCUUAGUUUGCCAUUUCCGGCAAACUAGUUAAACAUUUAUCUCAUCA